rnacentral:rRNA from 1 species
GCAGCAGUCGCGAGACUCCGCAAUGCGCGCAGCGCGACGGGCUACCCCGAGUGCCGUCCGCUGAGAUGCUUUCUCUGGUGUAUGAGCCGGAGGAAUAAGGGGAGGGCAAGACUGGUGUCAGCCGCCGCGGUAAUACCAGCUCCCCGAGUGGUGGGGAUGUUUAUUUGGCCUAAAGCGUCCGUAGCCUGCUCGGCAAGUCCUCCGUUAAAUCCCGACGAUCUAAUCGUUAGGCUGCGGGGGAUACUGCAGGGCUAGGGGGCGGGAGAAGUCGACGGUACUCCUGGGGUAGGGGUGAAAUCCUAUAAUCCCAGGAGGACAACCAGUGGCGAAGGCGGUCGGCUAGAACGCGCCCGACGGUGAGGGACGAAAGCUGGGGGAGCGAUCCGGAUUAGAUACCCGGGUAGUCCCAGCUGUAAACGAUGCAGGCUAGGUGUUGGCGUGACUACGAGUCACGCUAGUGCCGCAGGGAAGCCGUUAAGCCUGCCGCCUGGGAAGUACGGUCGCAAGACUGAAACUUAAAGGAAUUGGCGGGGGAGCACCACAAGGGGUGAAGCUUGCGGUUCAAUUGGAGUCAACGCCGGGAACCUUACCGGAGGAGACAGCAGAAUGAAGGCCAGAUUAAAGGUCUUGCCAGACAAGCUGAGAGGAGGCGCAUGGCCGUCGCCAGUUCGUGCCGUGAGGUGUCCUGUUAAGUCAGGCAACGAUCGAGACCCACGCCUCUUGUUGCCAGCGGCACUCCAACAGGAGGCCGGGCACACUAGAGGGACCGCCGCCGAGAAGGCGGAGGAAGGAGUGGGCCACGGCAGGUCAGUAUGCCCCGAAUCCUCCGGGCCACACGCGAGCUGCAAUGACAGGGACAAUGGGGUCCAACCUCGAAAGGGGAAGGCAAUCCCUAAACCCUGCCUCAGUUGGGAUCGAGGGCUGGAACCCGCCCUCGUGAAUCAUGGAAUCCCUAGUAAUCGCGCGUCAUCAUCGCGCGGUGAAUACGUCCCCGCUCCUUGCACACACCGCCCGUCGCUCCAUCCGAGUGAAGUCUGGAUGAGGCAUGGUCCUCUGGGCUGUGUCG